GUCCUUACUCGUUUCGGGGUCCGAACACGGCUUCACAGUGCGCCUACGGGCUGUCCCUAAUUUUCCCUGAAUUUUUUCCGGGGAACUGAAACGCACUACUGGUACCUGCACGUGUUUCAAAAAAUCCCAAAUUAGGCCCCGGGCCCCUUUCGGCCAAUAUCGCAAUUCCGGCACGGCGGCUCCACCGUGCUCCGGCGACGGCGCCGC
rnacentral:lncRNA from 1 species